rnacentral:tRNA from 1 species
GCGGAGAUAGUUUAAUCGGUAAAAUGCUAUAGUAACUUUGCGUUUUUGUCUGGAAGGAAUGCUGUAAGGUUUACAUUUCUAUGGUUAAGAAGUGUUGCAGGUUCGAGUCCUGCUCUCCGCG